rnacentral:rRNA from 1 species
GUAGUCUCGCACAGAUGCAUAUCAAUAAGCGGAGGAAAAGAAACUAACAAGGAUUCCCUCAGUAACGGCGAGUGAAGCGGGAAGAGCUCAAAUUUGAAAUCUUGAAAGGUCACCUUUCACGAAUUGUAGUUUAAAGAAGUGUUUUCUGUUACGAUCGUAAUAUAAGUUCUUUGGAAUAGGACAUCACAGAGGGUGAGAAUCCCGUCUAUGAUUGCGAUUUGUAGCUUUGUGUUACACUUUCAAAGAGUCGGGUUGUUUGGGAAUGCAGCCCAAAACGGGAGGUAAAUUUCUUCUAAGGCUAAAUAUUGGCGAUGAGACCGAUAGCGAACAAGUACCGUGAGGGAAAGAUGAAAAGAACUUUGAAAAGAGAGUUAAAUAGUACGUGAAAUUGUCAAAAGGGAAGCGUUUAACACCAGUGUUGUUUUCUGAAAAUCAACCUCUGUUAGCUUUAUGCAUGUUUGUUUAGACCUAAUCAGCUAUCUUGCAUGUUCUAUUGUUUGCAGUGGUGCACUUUUCAGUUUACAGGUCAACAUCAGUUUUUUUUACCGUAAAAAAGUUAGAGAAAGGUAGCUCAUGGCUCCGGUCGUGAGUGUUAUAGUCUUUUUCCUAUGCGGUAGGAGAGACUGAGGUCUGCAGUGUAGGCUAUUUGGCUAGAUACUCAGGUGCUAUGUGAUACCAUUUCAUAAACAACUUGUUGAUUAUGUUUUGUCUAUUGCAUACUCGCUUGUACUAUCAUACCUACGCUUAGGAUGUUGAGUCGUAGAGCACGCAG